GACGAACGCUGGCGGCGUGCCUAAUACAUGCAAGUAGAACGCUGAAGAGAGGAGCUUGCUCUUCUUGGAUGAGUUGCGAACGGGUGAGUAACGCGUAGGUAACCUGCCUUGUAGCGGGGGAUAACUAUUGGAAACGAUAGCUAAUACCGCAUAACAAUGGAUGACACAUGUCAUUUAUUUGAAAGGGGCAAUUGCUCCACUACAAGAUGGACCUGCGUUGUAUUAGCUAGUAGGUGAGGUAACGGCUCACCUAGGCGACGAUACAUAGCCGACCUGAGAGGGUGAUCGGCCACACUGGGACUGAGACACGGCCCAGAAUCCUACGGGAGGCAGCAGUAGGGAAUCUUCGGCAAUGGGGGCAACCCUGACCGAGCAACGCCGCGUGAGUGAAGAAGGUUUUCGGAUCGUAAAGCUCUGUUGUAAGUCAAGAACGAGUGUGAGAGUGGAAAGUUCACACUGUGACGGUAGCUUACCAGAAAGGGACGGCUAACUACGUG
rnacentral:rRNA from 1 species